rnacentral:rRNA from 1 species
AAAUUGAAGAGUUUGAUCAUGGCUCAGAUUGAACGCUGGCGGCAGGCCUAACACAUGCAAGUCGAACGGUAACAGGAAACAGCUUGCUGUUUCGCUGACGAGUGGCGGACGGGUGAGUAAUGUCUGGGAAACUGCCUGAUGGAGGGGGAUAACUACUGGAAACGGUAGCUAAUACCGCAUAAUGUCGCAAGACCAAAGAGGGGGACCUUCGGGCCUCUUGCCAUCAGAUGUGCCCAGAUGGGAUUAGCUAGUAGGUGGGGUAA